rnacentral:lncRNA from 1 species
UACUCAAGUGCACACCGCCCCUCUCGCUUCGACUUCUCGGGAUUUCUUGUUAGCUGAAGUUUUGUUUUCUUCCACUAAUUCGAUCUUCGAAAGGUCUCAGAGCUCCAAGUAACUCAGUAAGCUCGGUUUUCUUCUAUUCUCUUGGAUACUUGCUUACACAUUCCUUUUUUUUGUGUUAAAUUUGUUGUUUUGUUGUGUUAUAUGGAUCGAUGAGAGUCACAGACUUUGAAUUGAAAAAUGAAAAUUAGUUUUUUUUUCUGUGCUACAAAAAUGGGCGGAGACUGCAAGCAAGAGGGAAUGAAGCGACUCGAGUCACGAAGAGUCCUGUGACUUGCGAGAGGUGACAUGUAACUAUGAGAAAUUGAAAUAUUUGAUUAUCGAGUAAAUAACAUUGAGUUCCCUAUAUUUUUAUUUUUAGUAAAUAACGAUACAUUAGUUUCAGUUUAUUUCAAAUAGGUUCCUCAUCCUUUGCCAGUGACCAAGUUGUGCAACCCUAACAUCCACAGCACCUCUUUUCGCUUCAAUCAUGACCGGAGCAUCAGAGCUUGAGUCUAUCCUUUUAUGUUCAUCUCCGUCUUGUUCUUCAUCCAUUUUUGCAUCUUCUACAUGAAUGGCUUCUGGUUCUUUGGUUUGAUUUUCUUCUGUGCUGCCUUUUGGUUCUCUCCCUUCGCCGACUUGUUCAGCCACUUUCGUAGUUUCAAUUCUGGAGCUCUGAAGGGGGCCAGUCAAUGAAGCUGUAGCUGAGUCCAUCAAUGCUGAUUCCUCAGUUUUUAUUUCCCCUGAUUCUUGUGGUUGUUGCUCUCCUUCGAGGUUAAUCUUUGCUUUUUGUGGAGUUUCUGUGGUUCCUUAUUGCUCAAAAAUUUUUGGCGCAAACUCAUCUCCAGUUUGAACUGGUGUGUAUGGGCGCUCAAUGAGAUCUGCUUCAGUUGUUGCAUAAGAGCUUUUCUCUAACUCACUAGUUUCUUGAAUGAUUUUGCUGUCUGUUGCAAACCCCCUUAUGCUUUCUUUUUGUGACAUCGCCAUACUCGAUUCUUGAUAAAAUUAAAAGUAAAGCUGCUCAAAUUGUGAAAAAUAAAAGAAAAACCGAAAUGUCUAAUUAAUAUCUGCAAGCAAAAUGGCUUUCAUAAUUUAGCUGCAUUCUUGUCCUACUAAGUUAUGUUU